rnacentral:rRNA from 1 species
UGCAAGUCGAACGGCAGCACGGGAGCAAUCCUGGUGGCGAGUGGCGAACGGGUGAGYWWUAUAUCGGAACGUGCCCAGUCGUGGGGGAUAACGCAGCGAAAGCUGUGCUAAUACCGCAUACGAUCUCUGGAUGAAAGCGGGGGACCGCAAGGCCUCGCGCGAUUGGAGCGGCCGAUAUCAGAUUAGCUAGUUGGKGGGGUAAAAGCCCACCAAGGCGACGAUCUGUAGCUGGUCUGAGAGGACGACCAGCCACACUGGAACUGAGACACGGUCCAGACUCCUACGGGAGGCAGCAGUGGGGAAUUUUGGACAAUGGGCGCAAGCCUGAUCCAGCAAUGCCGCGUGCAGGAUGAAGGCCUUCGGGUUGUAAACUGCUUUUGUACGGAACGAAACGGCUCCUUUUAAUACAAGGGGCUAAUGACGGUACCGUAAGAAUAAGCACCGGCUAACUACGUGCCAGCAGCCGCGGUAAUACGUAGGGUGCGAGCGUUAAUCGGAAUUACUGGGCGUAAAGCGUGCGCAGGCGGUUAUAUAASACAGAUGUGAAAUCCCCGGGCUCAACCUGGGACCUGSAUUUGUGACUGUAUAGCUAGAGUACGGUAGAGGGGGAUGGAAUUCCGCGUGUARCAGUGAAAUGCGUAGAURUGCGGAGGAACRMCGAUGGCKAAKGCAAKCCCCUGGACCUGUACKGACRCUCAURCRCRAAAGCGUGGGGAGCAAWSAGGAKUAKAUACCCUGGUAGKCCA